ACUAGUUUGGGCUGGCAGGGGACAAAAUUUUCGUCUGAUGGUCGCCUAGUGUAGAUUACUAAACCAAAAACUCACCCAAAAUCCCGUAGUGUCGACAGACGCCUCCCAAUUUUCUUCCUCUGCUAUCGAACCCUGCAAACCCUCCCAAUUCCUAAUCGAUCUCCACCCAAUCCCUAAUCAAUCUCCACCCUCAUCUCUCCUCCCAUCUGCGCCUCUCUCUCAUCUCUCCUCCGUAUUCAAUCUCCACCCUCAAACUCUCUCGAGUCUCCCCUCAUCUGCGCCUCUCUCUCAUCCCACCACAAACCUAAACCGAUCCAUAAGAAGGUUGAGGCUGAGGAGCAGCUUGACAUUUUCGUGGCUUUUUUGGUUUCUGCUGUUCCCUUCUUUGCAAUGAGAUUAAGGAUUGGAUAGUUAUCUACGUGUUUGGAAUGUAAAGACGCGGGAACUACUCUCUGCGGUGAGUAAUGAUUGAUGUGCACUGCCGCUUUUGGAAUUGUUUAAGGACUCUUGGCCAAUGUAAAUUUAGAAGAACGACCAAAACCAAGCAGCCUCAAGAAAACAGUACUCAUAAGCAAAAAUGCACUGCCCAAAUGGGAAAUCAAUGGAUUUGUGGAGUACAUCUCCGGCGGGCCUCAACCAGGCAGCAUGUAAUUUGCCGAGAGUUGAAAUUGUGGGCAAGGAAUGAGCAACAAGGCCUUCUUGUCGCAAUGAUAUAGUUCUUGAGGAGAUUUGGGAGCAUGCCCGACAAGCCCAAGAGGAGGCACGACAUGCUUAGGAGGAGGCACAAAAAGCCCGGGAGCAGGCCAGAGUAGCCCAGGAGAAGAUCCUUGAUUAUGAGCGCCGUAUACAGAUGUUGAAGAAGUGUGCAGUCGCAGCCGAGCCGACAAGAAGGCCAACAGUCUAAGGUUGAUGGUUGAAGCUAGGUCCAUAGCUUUUUGCUUUUAUGGAACCCUUGAUAUUUGCUUCUUUUGUUAAACAUUGUCUAUAUAGGAUUGUAAGAGGCUAGGAUAUUAGGGAGGGUUUAAACUAUGAACUUUGAACUUGCUCUUUUGUUUGUGUAUAUAAUACCUCCUGGAAGUUUACUAGUUUUUC